ensembl:lncRNA
GGGUAAGGUAAAUCCCAUUGCUCAAAUAUUUGUCCUAGAAACUGCUCCCAUUCUGCUGAUUUGGGUUAAUGAAUAAACACAUCUAGACUGGUUGACAGUCCUUCAUUCUUAAGGUGCUAAGAGAAGGAAAAUUUUAUAUGGACUAAGGGAAAGGGGUAAAUGAGAGGUGAUUUUGGAGUUUGGACUCUGCAGUGAAUGACAGUACUUGGCACUGGGGGCAGAAGAAAAAGGAGGCCAGGAGAGAGAAGAAAGGUGAGGUUCAGGGGAUAGGAAGGGGACCCAGGAAGAGUCUGAAAGGAAUUAAGAAAUAAUGAUGGUGGGGGCAGCUGGGUGGCUCAGUGGAUUGAUAGCUAAACCUAGAGACUGCAGGUCCUAGGUUCAAAUCUGGCCUCAGACACUUCCCAGCUGUGUGAUCCUGGGCAAGUCACUUAACCCCCUUGCCUAACCCUUACCACUCUUCUGCCUUGGAGCCAAUACACAAUAUUGACUCCAAGAUGGAAGGAAAGAAGGAAAGAAAGAAAAGAAAAGAAAGAGAGGGGAGAGAGGGAGGAAGGGAAGAAGGGAGGAAGAUGGGACUGUGACCUAAAACAGAGGCACCUGAGACUGUUUGAAGUAAGUAAAAGGUUGGCUAGAGGAGACAUGAUAGUGUUCAAGGCCACAAAUAUGCGCAAUUUAACAGGAAUUAUGUUAAAAAAAUGUAGAGUUGAUGUAGUCAACUACAAUGAACGAGGCUCUUGAAUAAGGAAAUAACUAUGGAAACCCAUUUAAUGAGAAUUGUGUUGUCUACUAUGGAAAAUUUGCCAUAUUGGAGAGAGAUGGCAGGUGGAGAACUCAACGAGGUUAAAGUGAUAGGAGGCAAAUGGAACCUGGAACCUGGAACCUGGAACCUGGAACUGGUGUUGGUCCUUUGGAAAUGAAGACAAAGUCUCAAAUCUGAGAAACUCUGAAGAGAAAAAUAGGUAUUUCUUGGCAACUAUCUUUCAUAGGUGCACUUGAUCCUACAAAGAUGCUCUCCCCAUUAGAUAUCCUCUGUUGUAAGGGUUAGCUUUUUGCUACAAACCAGGAGCAGGGGAUCCUACAGGACAAAAGCAGGGCCAACACUCUGGAGUUCUGAAGAAGGCAAUUUCUGGCAGACAGUUGCUUCUGGAGGAGACAGGGGAGUUAGGGGAGUUGGUGGAGUUGCUCUCUGAAGGAGGAAAUUGUUAAGCUGCCAGGAGACUGGGACUUUCCUUCAAGCAAGUUUACAUCUUCUAGGAAAUGGUUAGAGAGUGGUUGACACUAUACAGGUGGACUAUGUUUGUUAAACCAUCCUUCCCCUUCCUGAUUCCUGUGAGCUGCUGUGAUUUCUACUGGGCUUUCUGCUUGACCCAAGAGGACAUCAGUUUGUGAGACUUCCUUUGGCCCUUGUUCCUCUCCUACAAAUCCUUCCCUAAUUUUAAUAUAGUAAUUACGGAUUAAUUAGUGUAGUUUAGAGAGCACAUUAUAGGUAGAGAAAACAUUGGUUAAUGGGGUUAGUACUCUGACUUUGGGGUCAAGUUCAGAUCGUCCCGAUUCCCUUACCUUAGCUUAAAUAAACAGUGAGUUAUAUUUAUUUGUUUUGUGCUU